AAUUUUUAUGGAGAGUUUGAUCCUGGCUCAGGAUGAACGCUGGCGGCGUGCCUAAUACAUGCAAGUCG
rnacentral:rRNA from 7 species